GGGGCAUUAGCUCAGUUGGCUAGAGCGCCGCGCUUGCACCGCGGAGGCCGAGGGUUCGAAUCCCUCAUGCUCCACCA
rnacentral:tRNA from 5 species